rnacentral:rRNA from 1 species
AGCGGCAAAAGCUCAAAUUUGAAAUCUGGUACCUUUGGUGCCCGAGUUGUAAUUUGGAGAGUACCACUUUGGGACUGUACUUUGCCUAUGUUCCUUGGAACAGGACGUCAUGGAGGGUGAGAAUCCCGUGUGGCGAGGGUGUCAGUUCUUUGUAAAGGGUGCUCGAAGAGUCGAGUUGUUUGGGAAUGCAGCUCUAAGUGGGUGGUAAAUUCCAUCUAAAGCUAAAUACAGGCGAGAGACCGAUAGCGAACAAGUACAGUGAUGGAAAGAUGAAAAGAACUUUGAAAAGAGAGUGAAAAAGUACGUGAAAUUGUUGAAAGGGAAGGGCAUUUGAUCAGACAUGGUGUUUUGCGCCCCUUGCCUCUCGUGGGCUUGGGACUCUCGCAGCUCACUGGGCCAGCAUCGGUUUUGGCGGCCGGAAAAAACCUAGGGAAUGUGGCUCUGCGCCUCGGUGUAGAGUGUUAUAGCCCUGGGGAAUACGGCCAGCCGGGACCGAGGACUGCGAUACUUGU